CCUACGGGGCGCUGCAGUGGGGAAUAUUGGACAAUGGGCGAAAGCCUGAUCCAGCCAUGCCGCGUGUGUGAAGAAGGCCUUCGGGUUGUAAAGCACUUUCAGUGGGGAAGAAAGCCUUGGGGCUAAUACCCUCGAGGAAGGACAUCACCCACAGAAGAAGCACCGGCUAACUCCGUGCCAGCAGCCGCGGUAAUACGGAGGGUGCGAGCGUUAAUCGGAAUUACUGGGCGUAAAGCGCGCGUAGGCGGUCUGAUAAGCCGGUUGUGAAAGCCCCGGGCUCAACCUGGGAACGGCAUCCGGAACUGUCAGGCUAGAGUGCAGGAGAGGAAGGUAGAAUUCCCGGUGUAGCGGUGAAAUGCGUAGAGAUAGGGAGGAAUACCAGUGGCGAAGGCGGCCUUCUGGACUGACACUGACGCUGAGGUGCGAAAGCGUGGGUAGCAAACAGGAUUAGAUACCCUUGUAGUC
rnacentral:rRNA from 1 species